AUUGAACGCUGGCGGCAUGCCUUACACAUGCAAGUCGAACGGUAACAGGUCUUCGGAUGCUGACGAGUGGCGAACGGGUGAGUAAUACAUCGGAACGUGCCUAGUAGUGGGGGAUAACUACUCGAAAGAGUGGCUAAUACCGCAUGAGAUCUACGGAUGAAAGCCGGGGAACGCACGACCUUGUGCUACUAGAGCGGCCGAUUGCAGAUUAGGUAGUUGGUGGGAUAAAAGCUUACCAAGCCGACGAUCUGUAGCUGGGCUGAGGGGACGAUCAGCCACACUGGGACUGAGACACGGCCCAGACUGCUACGGGAGGCAGCAGUGGGGAAUUUUGGACAAUGGGCGAAAGCCUGAUCCAGCAAUGCCGCGUGCAGGAUGAAGGCCUUCGGGUUGUAAACUGCUUUUGUACGGAACGAAAAGCCCCGGGUUAAUACCCUGGGGUCAUGACGGUACCGUAAGAAUAAGCACCGGCUAACUACGUGCCAGCCGCCGCAGUAA
rnacentral:rRNA from 1 species